rnacentral:rRNA from 1 species
CAGUAGCCGCGGUAAUACGUAGGUGGCAAGCGUUGUCCGGAAUUAUUGGGCGUAAAGGGCUCGCAGGCGGUUUCUUAAGUCUGAUGUGAAAGCCCCCGGCUCAACCGGGGAGGGUCAUUGGAAACUGGGAAACUUGAGUGCAGAAGAGGAGAGUGGAAUUCCACGUGUAGCGGUGAAAUGCGUAGAGAUGUGGAGGAACACCAGUGGCGAAGGCGACUCUCUGGUCUGUAACUGACGCUGAGGAGCGAAAGCGUGGGGAGUGAACAGGAUUAGAUACCCCCGUAGUCCCUGUCUCUUAUAC